AUUGAACGCUGGCGGAAUGCUUUACACAUGCAAGUCGAACGGCAGCACGGACUUCGGUCUGGUGGCGAGUGGCGAACGGGUGAGUAAUAUAUCGGAACGUGCCCAGUCGUGGGGGAUAACGUAGCGAAAGUUACGCUAAUACCGCAUACGAUCUAAGGAUGAAAGCGGGGGAUCGCAAGACCUCGCGCGAUUGGAGCGGCCGAUAUCAGAUUAGGUAGUUGGUGGGGUAAAGACUCACCAAGCCAACGAUCUGUAGCUGGUCUGAGAGGACGACCAGCCACACUGGAACUGAGACACGGUCCAGACUCCUACGGGAGGCAGCAGUGGGGAAUUUUGGACAAUGGACGCAAGUCUGAUCCAGCCAUUCCGCGUGCAGGAUGAAGGCCCUCGGGUUGUAAACUGCUUUUGUACGGAACGAAAAGGUCUCUCUUAAUACGGGGGACUCAUGACGGUACCGUAAGAAUAAGCACCGGCUAACUACGUGCCAGCCGCCGCCGUAA
rnacentral:rRNA from 1 species